CAGCCGCCGCGGUAAUACGAGGGGGGCAAGCGCUGUUCGGAAUUAUUGGGCGUAAAGGGCUCGCAGGCGGUUUCUUAAGUCUGAUGUGAAAGCCCCCGGCUCAACCGGGGAGGGUCAUUGGAAACUGGGAAACUUGAGUGCAGAAGAGGAGAGUGGAAUUCCACGUGUAGCGGUGAAAUGCGUAGGGAUGUGGAGGAACACCAGUGGCGAAGGCGACUCUCUGGUCUGUAACUGACGCUGAGGAGCGAAAGCGUGGGGAGCGAACAGGAUUAGAUACCCCGGUAGUCCCUGUCUCUUAUAC
rnacentral:rRNA from 1 species